rnacentral:tRNA from 1 species
GUACCUUUAGCUCAGUCGGAUAGAGCAACUGCCUUCUAAGCAGUAGGUCGGAGGUUCGAGUCCUCCAAGGUACGCCA